AACGAACGCUGGCGGCAGGCCUAACACAUGCAAGUCGAACGCCCUAGCAAUAGGGAGUGGCAGACGGGUGAGUAACACGUGGGAACGUGCCUUUCGGUUCGGAAUAACCCAGGGAAACUUGGACUAAUACCGGAUACGUGCGAGAGCAGAAAGAUUUAUCGCCGAAAGAUCGGCCCGCGUCCGAUUAGUUAGUUGGUGAGGUAAUGGCUCACCAAGGCGACGAUCGGUAGCUGGUCGUGAAGA
rnacentral:rRNA from 1 species